rnacentral:rRNA from 1 species
GGCAGCAGCUAAGAAUAUUCCGCAAUGGACGAAAGUCUGACGGAGCGACGCCGCGUGGAUGAUGAAGGCCGGAAGGUUGUAAAAUCCUUUUAUGACUGAGGAAUAAGCAGUGUGAGAGAAACGCAUUGUGGUGACUGUAGGUCAUGAAUAAGCAACGGCUAAUUACGUGCCAGCAGCCGCGGUAACACGUAAGUUGCGAGCGUUGUUCGGAAUUAUUGGGCGUAAAGGGCAUGUAGGCGGUUCUGCAAGUCUGGUGUGAAAUACCGGGGCUCAACCCCGGAACUGCGUUGGAAACUGCAGGACUUGAAUCGCUGAGGGGCAGCCAGAAUUCCAGGUGUAGGGGUGAAAUCUGUAGAUAUCUGGAAGAAUACCAAUGGCGAAGGCAGGCUGCCAGCAGAUGAUUGACGCUGAGGUGCGAAGGUGCGGGGAGCAAACAGGAUUAGAUACCCUGGUAGUCCGCACAGUCAACUAUGUACACUAGGUGUCCGCGCAUGAGCGUGGGUGCCGAAGCAAACGCGAUAAGUGUACCGCCUGGGGAGUAUGCCCGCAAGGGUGAAACUCAAAGGAAUUGACGG